rnacentral:rRNA from 1 species
UACGUAGGGCGCAAGCGUUAUCCGGAAUUAUUGGGCGUAAAGAGCUCGUAGGCGGUUUGUCGCGUCUGCCGUGAAAGUCCGGGGCUCAACUCCGGAUCUGCGGUGGGUACGGGCAGACUAGAGUGAUGUAGGGGAGACUGGAAUUCCUGGUGUAGCGGUGAAAUGCGCAGAUAUCUGGAGGAACACCGGUGGCGAAGGCGGCAUUCUGGACCGACAUUGACGCUGAGGAGCGAAAGCCAGGGGAGCAAACGGG